CUUAGGAAGUGUUCUCCAGUGGAGGUUAAGCUGUCACCAAAUUCGUUACCGCUGACAGCUUUGGUUAGCUUUCCCGGAUCGGGUAAUACAUGGGUGCGCCAUAUUGUUCAACAAGCAACAGGUAUUGGAACUGGAAGCGUGUAUUGUGACAAAUUUCUACGGGAUCAUGGAUUUCCCUUUGAAUGUAUCAAAAACGGCUCUGUAGUUUUGAUAAAAACACAUCGAGAAAAGAUUUCCGAACCAAACCUACGAUUUUCCCGUAUAGUUCUCCUACUUCGAAACCCAUUUGAUGCAAUUCGGGCGGAAUUCAAUCGACGUUUUUCUAAGGAAAAUCACAUAGGAUUCGCAUCCGAAACCAGUGUUAAGAAAGACUGGCCACGUGUUUCAAGGGAAAUGAUUACUAACUGGAC